UACGAAGGGUGCAAGCGUUACUCGGAAUUACUGGGCGUAAAGCGUGCGUAGGUGGUGGUUUAAGUCAGAUGUGAAAGCCCUGGGCUCAACCUGGGAACUGCAUUUGAUACUGGAUCACUAGAGUGCGGUAGAGGAUAGUGGAAUUCCCGGUGUAGCAGUGAAAUGCGUAGAGAUGGGAGGAACACCAGUGGCGAAGGCGGGAUCGUCUGGACAGUUCCGUGACGCUGAGGC
rnacentral:rRNA from 1 species